rnacentral:lncRNA from 1 species
GGGACCGCGAGGGGAGAGAGGACGAAAAUCCUGUUGGGGAGGAAGGACGCACUCGCAGGCUUGUCUCCUGCCUGCUCCCUGGCGAUCUAGGCUCUAGCCCUUCGGCUCCGCUGCCCGCGGCAGCUCUGGACUCAUCCAGUCUGUCCAGCCUCAAGAAGACGAGCCCAAGGGUCAAAGAUGACCCUCGACCCUCGCUCUCUUCCCGCAACUCGGAUGCGACGUGCCUUGCGCGCCGGGGUUCUUGCCCAAGAACGGAGGCGCCCGGGCGCCCCUGCGCGGAACCACCGGGACCGGGCCUAGGGUCCAGAGCCGGGGCCUCGUGCUCGGUGCCGUGCAGAACGCGGCCGGGCCUGGUCCCAGCGCCGAGCACCACGCGCCCAGGGGCCUGCGGAGCCACCGCGACGCCCGGGACGCGCCAGCGCGGCCGGAGGAGAGAGCUCGGCAGGUGCCCGUCGUUCCUGUGGGUUCGUGGUAGCAGCUGCCCCAGGGGCCGGUCCGGUGGGCGAGGGCCCCGGGUACGCCCCGCUUGAGGCCGGUCCUCUCUGCGCGGGCGCGGCGCUGUGGACCAGGGGACCCAAAGAGCCAGCUCUUAGGCUGCCCCAGAUCUGCAGAAUUUGCUGAAAGGAUCUUAAAGCUGAGGUGCUGAGGGUGAGACGAUUGGACUGAAUUCACGAUUGGGCAAAGCCCAAGGAGAAAGAGGUGGAUGAAGCGGAAGACGGAGGUUUGGGGGUGGCCUGCAGCCGGAGGAUAGGGGCCCAUGUAGGGGACUGGGGGUGCGGGCCAAGGGGGCGAAGGCUGCCUGUGCGGAGCGGGGAGUAGAAUCAGAAGCUCGUGUCCCGGGGCUACCAAGGGUUGGGUUGGGAACUUUCCAGAACAUUACCCCUCCUCCUCCCCCCUUCCCCGGCCCCGAAUUGCACUACUGCCGACCUGGAGGAGGUGGGGAUUGCCCACAGCACGUGCGGUGCACGUUCGGAAUGAUGGUGUGGAGAUGAGACGCUGGAGCAAAACAUGAACCAAUUAAAGGGCUGUAAAAACCUACGCCUCUGGGGCUUCCCCCCCUCCUGUAAUGAGAAAUUCAUAGCUGGGGCCGGGGGCGGGGGGGCGGGGGAGGCGGAUGAGGGGGAACGACCUUCUCACACUCAGAGUGACUUCUUUCCAAUUCUUUUGAAG